GGAGAGAUGACUGAGCGGUUUAAGGUGAUAAUUUGCUAAAUUAUUAUAUAAUAAAUUUAUAUCAUGGGUUCGAAUCCCAUUCUUUCCG
rnacentral:tRNA from 1 species